AUGGAUAUAACUCCCACCCACGGAGGAAGCUCCGAUUGUGUCAUGUACUGUCUCACCUUCACACUUAUAUCAGGGCCAUCAAGGCGUUUCCGACGAGUCUGUGAACACCUCCAGAACCUGAUGCUGGGACCUCGAGGUGAUGCUCUCAAUCAGCGGAAGAUCAGCACAGACAGCACCUCCUCCUACACCUCAGAGACAGGAGAGUCACCUCGACACAGCAGCUCGGCUCGGGAAAAUGGCGAGGAAGAGGUGUUUGAUCGCUAUCCCAGCUACCGAGUCUCCAAGACCCCCACCCCCACUAGACGGGAGGUUCCCCGCGUCAUCACCAAUGGCAAACGGGCUAUAGUGGACCAUAGCUUUAGAAAAGACAAACUAUGACGUGGAUUGCACAAAAUAGCCCUUCUAGUUCUGUCUCUAAAGCUAUUGAACAUUUAUAUGUGUGUAGAAGAUUAGUCUCUCUGUUGCUGAAUAAUGAAGUCUGUGAUGAAUUGACUUUGUGUAACUGUGUGCAAGUUUAUGUGAAGGAUUACUCAUUCAGUAGAAAAAAUAACUGUCUCAGAACUGUAUGCAUGAUCUGCUUUAUUUUGAAAAAUUUCGAACGAAUUGAGCAGUCCUAAAGUACAUUGCCACUCUGCCAUGAUUAGUCUGUUUGUCUGUCUGUUUGUCCUCAGAGGAUGUGUUUGUGUUGUGUUACCUCUCUAUGGCUCAAUACAGAGGCUGUCAUCUAAUAGAUACAAUAGAAGCAAUACUGCAGAUUCAAAAAACAAUAUUUAUAAAAAGUUAAUGUAGGAUAACAUUUAAUCAAUUACAACUCUUUGGUGUGCAUUAUUUUAUUGAGAUAAGCUGCACAAUAAGGUUCCUUUGUAACCUUCAAGGUUAAAAUCAAAACAUGCUUAUGUAGACUUCAGUGCCAGUACUUCAUAGUAAGGUCUUUUUCCUGCCUAAGCAGAUUCAACAAUUGAUAAUACUGCACAGAAUGAUAAUGUAAGAAACAGUGAUCAUACAUCUAUACAUGCAAGUUAUUCUGAUAAAACAUGAGUUUGUUUAUUGAUUUAUAUUACUAUUUGAAUAUCUUUAUUGGUUUGUUUUAUUUAUACUACAAUGUGUUGUACGGUAUUAUUAUGUAUUCUGUGUCAUGUGAUCCAGUGAUCCUGUUUCAUUACCAAUGGCGACUCAUGAGUUCUUGGCACUAUUUGACCACUGAAGCCAGUGAGAGAUGUGAACUUUGUAUGAUACCUAUAGGCCAAAUUUCAUUAUGUAUAUUAUGUACCAGCUUUGAUCAUGUAUACUCCAUUACCAAAUUGUACCAGGACUUAGUGGACAUAGUCAAGGUCUUGCUUUAACAGUGGGUUGCGAAUAAUUUCACUAGGAUAAACUUGUGUUACCGAUAUCAUCUCGAAUCAUUGUGUUACUGAUAUCAACUUUAUUUCCAGUAUCUGCAAUAGUGACCCGAGUUCAAGUGUCAUCGAGUUGUUGUGUUACCGGGAUCAACUCAAGUUACGCGACACUCGGAUCAAGUCAAAUCCUGUAUCUGACAUUUACCAUGUUACAUUGAAAUCUUUCCAUUUUAAUAUGACUUUUAUGAUUUAAUUCAAAAUAAUAACAGAUUUACAACUC
rnacentral:misc_RNA from 1 species